UUGCUACCCCAAAAGCAAUUUUUUUUUUUUCACAGAAGUAUUGGGAAGCGGAAAUCAUCGUUGUGUGACGCUGAGAUAUUCAUGUGGAUCCAAUCAUCAGAUAAAUUUCUGAAUCAGCAGAAGACAUCUGAACUUUUUCCCAAAAUACAUAAUAUAGAAGUAACUGAAAUUACACUGAAGGAAGACAUUCUUUGCAUUAUUGAGAGCUUCUACAACCUGGAACAGAAAGGACUAAGAAAAAGAGAUGAAGCCCUUAGCUGGAAAUACAGUGAGGUGGAUAUGUUUUAGGCAUGUAAAUGCAGAAGAAAAAUGGAGUACUACAGACUUAGAACCACACCCACAAACAUUAAAAGGAGAAAGAAAAGUAAAAUAAACUGUGGAGG